ACGGGAGGCAGCAGUGAGGAAUAUUGGUCAAUGGGCGGAAGCCUGAACCAGCCAAGUCGCGUGAAGGAUGAAGGUUCUAUGGAUUGUAAACUUCUUUUGUUCGAGGGUAAAGUGAGGGUCGUGACCCUUAUUGCAAGUAUCGAACGAAUAAGCAUCGGCUAACUCCGUGCCAGCAGCCGCGGUAAUACGGAGGAUGCGAGCGUUAUCCGGAUUUAUUGGGUUUAAAGGGUGCGCAGGCGGAUCGGUAAGUCAGGGGUGAAAAGUUGGGGCUCAACUCCAAUCGUGCCUUUGAUACUGCCGGACUAGAGUGCGAUAGACGUGGCCGGAAUGUGAUGUGUAGCGGUGAAAUGCUUAGAUAUGUCACAGAACACCGAUCGAGAAGUCAGGUCACGAGCUCGCAACUGACGCUCAGGCACGAAAGCGUGGGGAUCAAACAGGAUUAGAUACCCUGGUA
rnacentral:rRNA from 1 species